GGACGUUGACCGAGCUUGGAGAUGGGUGCCGGCUGUUCGGUGGAGGCCUUGCGCGGAGGAAAGGCUGGCUGAACCGACAAAACUCAGUGGAAUCUCUCACAGACGAAGACGCAAGCUGAGCCAAAGACACGCGGCUGAAGACUUCGCUGGCUUGUGGUCAACACCUGGGUUUCGCUUGUAGUGGGAUUAACCCAGUAAAUUCGAAGACACGACACGGUAGUUUCGGUGGAGCUGCAAGUGAUGGCUUCGGUCGAAGAUAAAUGAAGGAAAGAAGACUUGGAGUCUUCGGUGAACUGCAGGGGCGCACGAUGGAGUUCGGUGGAGAGGAGGGACGCGCGGCUGCUCCUUCCGCUGGCUUCUUCCUUGCCAGAUGGUGGUGUGAGAAAAAUGAGAGGGGGAGAGAUUAUUAUCGCCGGUUGAGGGAGUGAGAGAG
rnacentral:lncRNA from 1 species